rnacentral:rRNA from 1 species
AACGAACGCUGGCGGCGUGCCUAACGCAUGCAAGUCGAGCGAGAAAGCCCGCAAGGGUGAGUAAAGCGGCGCACGGGUGCGUAACACGUGGGUAAUCUGCCCUAGAGUCCGGAAUAACUCGCCGAAAGGCGUGCUAAUGCCGGAUGAGACCACGGGAGCCUCGGCUCCCGCGGGAAAAGGUGGCCUCUGUAUACAAGCUAUCGCUCUAGGAUGAGCCCGCGGCCCAUCAGCUCGUUGGCGGGGUAAUGGCCCACCAAGGCUACGACGGGUAGCUGGUCUGAGAGGACGAUCAGCCACACUGGAACUGAGACACGGUCCAGACUCCUACGGGAGGCAGCAGUGGGGAAUCUUGCGCAAUGGGCGAAAGCCUGACGCAGCAACGCCGCGUGUGUGAUGAAGGUCUUCGGAUCGUAAAGCACUGUCGCGAGGGACGAAUAAGGGUCGGGCUAACAUCCCGGUCCGAUGACGGUACCUCGAGAGGAAGCACCGGCUAACUCUGUGCCAGCAGCCGCGGUAAUACAGAGGGUGCAAGCGUUGUUCGGAAUUAUUGGGCGUAAAGCGCGUGUAGGCGGCUUAGUAAGUUGGGUGUGAAAGCCCUCGGCUUAACCGAGGAAGUGCGCCCAAAACUGCUUGGCUUGAGUACCGGAGAGGGUGGCGGAAUUCCCGGUGUAGAGGUGAAAUUCGUAGAUAUCGGGAGGAACACCAGUGGCGAAGGCGGCCACCUGGACGGUCACUGACGCUGAGACGCGAAAGCGUGGGGAGCAAACAGGAUUAGAUACCCUGGUAGUCCACGCUGUAAACGAUGAGCGCUAGGUGUUGUGGGUGUUGACCCCCGCAGUGCCGCAGCUAACGCAUUAAGCGCUCCGCCUGGGAAGUACGGCCGCAAGGCUA